rnacentral:rRNA from 1 species
CACUUUAACCUGAUUCUUCGGAUGAAGGUUUUUGUGACUGAGUGGCGGACGGGUGAGUAACGCGUGGGUAACCUGCCUCAUACAGGGGGAUAACAGUUAGAAAUGACUGCUAAUACCGCAUAAGACCACGGAGCCGCAUGGCUCAGUGGGAAAAACUCCGGUGGUAUGAGAUGGACCCGCGUCUGAUUAGGUAGUUGGUGGGGUAACGGCCUACCAAGCCAACGAUCAGUAGCCGACCUGAGAGGGUGACCGGCCACAUUGGGACUGAGACACGGCCCAAACUCC